ACCCGAAACCAGGUGAUCUACCCUUGGUCAGGUUGAAGUUCAGGUAACACUGAAUGGAGGACCGAACCGACUUACGUUGAAAAGUGAGCGGAUGAACUGAGGGUAGCGGAGAAAUUCCAAUCGAACCUGGAGAUAGCUGGUUCUCUCCGAAAUAGCUUUAGGGCUAGCCUCAAGUGAUGAUUAUUGGAGGUAGAGCACUGUUUGGACGAGGGGCCCCUCUCGGGUUACCGAAUUCAGACAAACUCCGAAUGCCAAUUAAUUUAACUUGGGAGUCAGAACAUGGGUGAUAAGGUCCGUGUUCGAAAGGGAAACAGCCCAGACCACCAGCUAAGGUCCCAAAAUAUAUGUUAAGUGGAAAAGGAUGUGGCGUUGCCCAGACAACUAGGAUGUUGGCUUAGAAGCAGCCAUCAUUUAAAGAGUGCGUAAUAGCUCACUAGUCGAGUGACACUGCGCCGAAAAUGUACCGGGGCUAAACAUAUUACCGAAGCUGUGGAUUGUCCUUUGGACAAU
rnacentral:rRNA from 1 species